ACUUGGUGAUGUGGACAUUUGUGCAAGAGGCCCUUAAAGUGCUCCUAAUUUUCAAAAAAUAGUUCCCCAUCCACUUGUGAGAAACUAGUGAUUGCCCUCCUUAGGU